rnacentral:rRNA from 1 species
CCUACGGGAGGCAGCAGUGGGGAAUUUUGGACAAUGGGGGCAACCCUGAUCCAGCCAUGCCGCGUGAGUGAAGAAGGCCUUCGGGUUGUAAAGCUCUUUCGGCCGGGAAGAAAUCGCAUAGGCUAAUACCCUGUGUGGAUGACGGUACCGGAAUAAGAAGCACCAGCUAACUACGUGCCAGCAGCCGCGGUAAUACGUAGGGUGCAAGCGUUAAUCGGAAUUACUGGGCGUAAAGCGUGCGCAGGCGGUUUUGUAAGACAGGCGUGAAAUCCCCGGGCUCAACCUGGGAAUGGCGCUUGUGACUGCAAAGCUGGAGUGCGGCAGAGGGGGAUGGAAUUCCGCGUGUAGCAGUGAAAUGCGUAGAUAUGCGGAGGAACACCAAUGGCGAAGGCAAUCCCCUGGGCCUGCACUGACGCUCAUGCACGAAAGCGUGGGGAGCAAACAGGAUUAGAUACCCUGGUAGUCCACGCCCUAAACGAUGUCAACUGGUUGUUGGUCCUCAGCUGGAUCAGUAACGAAGCUAACGCGUGAAGUUGACCGCCUGGGGAGUACGGCCGCAAGGCUGAAACUCAAAUGAAUUGACGG